GUGAUACUUCCUCCGUCCAAAAAUACUUGUCUUAAAAAUGAAUAUAAUGAAUGUAUCUAUAACUAAAAUAAGUCUAGAUACAUUCAUCUCUAAGACAAUUAUUUCCGGACGGAGGGAGUAUUAG
rnacentral:pre_miRNA from 1 species